rnacentral:rRNA from 1 species
UUGUGGAGUCGGCAAGUGAAAUACCACUCUGAUGUUGCUGGUUAUCUGAACCUGGGCCCAUUAUCUGGGUUAGGGACAGUGCCUGGUGGGUAGUUUAACUGGGGCGGUUGCCUCCUAAAUGGUAACGGAGGCGCUCAAAGGUUUCCUCAUCCUGGUUGGUAAUCAGGGUUCGAGUGUAAGUGCACAAGGAAGCUUGACUGUGACACUGACGGGUGGAGCAGGUACGAAAGUAGGAACUAGUGAUCCGGCAAUGGCUUAUGGAAGCGUUGUCGCUCAACGGAUAAAAGGUACCCCGGGGAUAACAGGCUGAUCUUGCCCAAGAGUCCAUAUCGACGGCAUGGUUUGGCACCUCGAUGUCGGCUCGUCGCAUCCUGGGGCUGGAGUUGGUCCCAAGGGUUGGGCUGUUCGCCCAUUAAAGCGGUACGCGAGCUGGGUUCAGAACGUCGUGAGACAGUUCGGUCGCUAUCCGCUGCGCGCGUUAAGACUUGAGAAAGUCCUGUCCCUAGUACGAGAGGACCGGGAUGGACGAACCUCUGGUGUGCCAGUUGUACCGCCAGGUGCAUGGCUGGUUGGCUAUGUUCGGAAAGGAUAACCGCUGAAAGCAUCUAAGCGGGAAGCCUGCUUUAAGAUGAGGUCUUUUAGGUUCCCAGCAGACUACUGGGUAGAUAGGCCAGAAGUGUACACGUUGUAAAACGCAAAGCUGACUGGUACUAAAGAACCAUAAAAAAACAAAC